UACGAAGGGGGCUAGCGUUGCUCGGAAUCACUGGGCGUAAAGGGCUCGUAGGCGGUCUGUCGCGUCGGGAGUGAAAACUCAGGGCUUAACCCUGAGCCUGCUUCCGAUACGGGCAGACUAGAGGUAUGCAGGGGGAGAACGGAAUUCCUGGUGUAGCGGUGGAAUGCGCAGAUAUCAGGAGGAACACCGGUGGCGAAGGCGGCACUCUGGGCCGGUACUGACGCUGAGGAGCGAAAGCGUGGGGAGCGAACAGG
rnacentral:rRNA from 1 species